rnacentral:rRNA from 1 species
UACGUAGGGAGCAAGCGUUGUCCGGAAUCAUUGGGCGUAAAGCGCGCGUAGGCGGCCCGAUAAGUCCGCUGUAAAAGUCAACGGCUCAACUGUUGAAAGCCGGUGGAUGACUGUCGGGCUAGAGUACGGAAGAGGCAAGUGGAAUCCUGGUGUAGCGGUGGAAUGCGCAGAUAUCAGGAGGAACACCUAUAGCGAAGGCAGCUUGCUGGGACGUUACUGACGCUAAGGCGCGAAAGCUAGGGUAGCAAACGGG